GUGAAUAUCAAACAGGGAAAUUAGGUUGGCAUUUAAAGAAUAAUUUUGAUAAGUAUUCUUGAAAAUGUUAUCUAUAAGGAUACUUCUGGCCAAGAUACUUCGUUAAAACUCACAAAGUCCUGCAUUGAAAAAAAAAUUUUUUUCUCCCAGAAGAUUCCUCUUCAUGGUUUCAGGGCUUCAGAAAUGUAGAGGGAAUUUACAUGAUUUGGUGAGUCUGUGAUCUUAACAUCCUCAAUUUCUGCUUACUACUGUGCUUAACCUGUGCUUUAGGGCCUGGAAUUUGGGGAGUUGAGGCUUCAGGCACAGUAAGAAGUUAGAACUGGGGCUCUGGUAGAUGCAGGGGAAGCAUGAUCUGUGAACCUGGUGGAAACAGUCACCAAGGGACGUUGGAAGCAAUAAGUGAUGCCCGAUUCAGCUCAUUUUUUUUUUUUUACCUCUACUGAUAGUUAACUGCCAAAAAUAUUUAUGGAGAGUGGACUAGAGAUAUUUUAGAGUCAUGGCAUAUGCACCCAUGAAGUUGACUUUCUAGGUGGAUUGGUUGAUCCCCUUACCCUUAAGCUAUCAACGUGAUGUCGUAGGAAACCAUGGCAGCUCUGUAUUAUGUAUUAAAGAUACUUGAGUCAGUUGAAUAUUUGUUUUAAAAACAUUUAUAUCAUUCUAGUUGUGAAAAUUAGGAGGAAUAACAGAUUUGGAGAUAAGAACACAGAGUUGUCCUUAGGUCAAGUAGUCUUCAAACAGAAGCUUCUAGACACUGAGGGACAAUACUCCCUUUGUGCAGAGCUGUCAUUUUGAGAAUGCUGAAAAGUGGAGUGCAUUUGAAGCUCCGAUUUUUCUCCAAAAUAAGAAUGUUAGUUUUAUGUAAAAUACAGUUAAGCUUUCAUUCUGUUUUUAAAAUGUUGCCUCAUUUUGGAGUGUGGGGGAAGAAACAGGAAGAUAUGGUCUGAAGACCACGUAUGACCCAUCUUUCUAAUCAGAGGUCUAAUUUUUAGUUUACACAAAGCAAAGCAUCAGGACCAUUCCAUCUCUGACAAAAGAAGCUUUUCAGAACGUCUCAUUCCCACCCAGGAAGAGGUGUGUAAUGGGAGCUACCCCCACAGGGCAAACACCACUCAUAUCCUCAACAGCACUCUUUCAAGGCAACUUGGUUUUCUGUUCUCAAUUGCAAUUUUCUACUUGUUAUCUUCCUCAGGAGAUGCUGCAACAUUUGAAAAGGAAGCCCAGAUUUGGGGGCAGAGGGGUUAUGGAUAUACUCCAUAAAAGUUGCAUGGAAUUGAAUGGAAUUUAAUAAUUCUUGCUAAAUUUUGUGGAAUCACUAUGUGAUGUUAGGCAAAUUUCUUUACAGAUGGGAGAAGCGAGGGUCAUGAGUAAAGUAAGGAAAUUCUAUACCUUGCAAGAUUUUCUUCAGGAGGAAAAGUGUGCAUACGGAAACACUUUUGAAAGUCAACGUUUCUACUUAAUUGCUCACCCUCUGGGUAUAGAAUUUCAGAAUGACACAAAUAUAUAUAGAGAUUAAUGUUUUAGUGAUUGCAGGACAUUACUUUAUUAAUAAAGAGUAUGUUCGUAAAAAUAGGCAUCUGUUAUAUAGAGCUAUUCAUUUUAAAGAAUAGCUAUAAACAUUUUUUUCCACCUUGAAUUGGCCUAUGUGCUCUAAUGCUUGCCCCCACUCUGUGGCAGAACAUAGAUCACAAGAUUAGCAGGUAACUUAAGGUCUCCAAGUUUCUGCCUUCUGGGUCCUACUUCUUUUAAUACUAAUUACAAUUAUAGUUCCAACAACGAUGCUGAAAAAACUCUGGCUACUCCAAUGAUUCUGAGGGGCAUCAAGCACUCUCUUGGUCACCUCUCACUCAAGACCAUGGCUCCCACACCACUCUGCUCAUCACCUCUGUACUUACCCCUGUUCCUCUAUGCCCCUGUCUUCUCCAAGCCAAGGGUGAACUCUGCCCUCCCUUCAUCCUCCAAGGAGAAUGCUGGGCUGAGGUUAGUCUGUAGUCAUAAUUAUCCCUUUGUUAAUUCUCUUCACAAUAUAAAAAAUAGAAACUCACAGUGCAUAAUAGACUCACUGCCUUUUAAGUUUGCAGACUUUUUCUCCUCUGACACCCACUCCCUACUAAGCCCCAAAUUGGUUAAUAUUCCUGCUUAUGCAGGUUUCCCACAGUAAAGCCAUUGAGACUGUGAGGUAUUUAUGCUCAUGAAUGCAGAAAUAACUAGUUUUUAAAAUAGUAAAUGUUUCCUUUGGUAAUUUUUCUUCCAGUUUAUAGACUUUUUGUUUUAUUUAGAACAGAGUCAAAAAGGAAUUACCUGGAUAAUUAUCCUGUCUCUGGUGCCUUUGAUUUUGCAUGUUCCUUAUUAAGUCAAUAAGUUGCAUCCAUUUCAGUGGAGAUAGGUGUCUCAUGGGGAAUUUGGGCUUUGUUCCCUGGGUGUUGAGUAGAGGUGUAUCAAGCAGCUAACCCCACACAGCUGCUGGGCUUGUAAACAGACUUGAAUCUUCUGGAUAUUCAUUUGCAAAAUUUAUCAGCAACCUUUCUAAAUGCUCCCACAUUUCCAUCUAAUUAUCCUACUUUUAACAAGUUUAUCCUGAGUUAAAUGGUCAACAAUAUAACAAGCUAUAUACAUGCACAUGCAUUGUAGCACACUGAAAAAAUUUAAAUCUGGCACUAAUACACAAAAUGAUCAAAUUUAUCUUGCAUUGAAAAAUAGCUGGAAUGAAAUAAACCCAGACUUUAAAAUGGAUGCCUUUGGAGAGAGUUUGCCCCCUCUGUCUGGACUUGCUUUAGUCCUUGUACUGUUUUCUUUUUCCUUGAGCUUUGUCUAUGGUGCUACUUCUUUGUUCUUUAUAGGCCAUUUUAUUUUAAUCCUUGUUAAAUUUGUAAAAAAAACUUUUUCUAGAUUUUCUGGGACAAACCUGUGUUACUUACAGUACUUUUAUUACUUAUGGUAAUUUAAAAUUAUACAUUAAGAUGCCAUGGUCACAGGACUUCUUAGAAGACUUUGCUCUUAUUGACAGAAUUAGAUCCAGGAAAAAUUUAGAUGUAGUUAUUUCCACAUUUUAUAGACCAGGAAACUGGAAUCCAAGUAGUUAGGGACAUGAAACAGUUUCAUGUACACCACUUACGAUGACACAGCUAACUAGUGGCAGAGGUAGGUCUAGGCUCCAAGUAGCUCUCUUACUCCAUAACCUUUCUGAGAAGACCAAGUGUCCUGGGAGGCUGAGAUAUAGCUCAUGUCCCUUCCUCUGGUUGAUAAUUGCCUUUUGCCCCUGAUGAAGUUAGGGGAUUUGGUCAUAGCAGACACCAUUAUUGAAGAUAAGGUUUUUAAGGGUGAUACUGAGCAAGAGUUUCACCAAAUCUACACCUUUGAUUGUUUGUACUAAUCCGCAGACUAGUACUGCUUAUUUGUUCCUCCUGUCCCUCAGCUGGCCGGAAGUAAACAAAAUCAGAAAUUCUGGGCAAGUCUAGUUUGUCCCCCAGAAGCAACCUCUGACCUGAUACAAUGAUGGUUGUGACUAAAUUAGGGUUCAAAUUAUAGAACAGAGGGACACUACAUACUGCUCAAGAAUGACAUUUUAGUUUCUAUUUUGGAAGUGUGCAAAAGUCAAGUCCCAACAGAAAACACCUGGCAUACCCAAAAUUGUACAAAGGGGAACACAAAAGAUAGUGCAUUUCCCCAGAACUGGGAGCAGCUGAUUUGAUAGCAAAUAUAAGCUUGAAGGGACAAGGAGAGGGUGCAGUUCCCAAAACCCAGAAGCAGAGAGUCAUGUAAAAUCUGAUGCCUUAUAGGGAGAAUGACUUUUAGUUGAAGGACACAGACCAAGAAGACCUUACAAGGAAAGAGCUGGAAGAAUAAAUACGUGCAUUUGCCCUUUCCUCUCUCUGGUCUCCACCUCAACUGGAGGCCAGAGGGAAGACUUUAGAAGGAACCUACUCAGGUAAGCAUCCCAGGGCAGAGACAGGAGGCUGGGUUCUGAUUCUGGAGGAGCAGUCAGGAGAUAAGAGCAAAAACAAUGUCAGGGUAUUGGCUACUUAAAAAAAAUAAUGUUCUACAGUUCUGUAGUUAGGUAGGCUGAAGAUAUAUUUCAAGCUGUUGCACUAAUGGCCCCUAAACCUUGGUUGUAGUUUCAUAGGACCAUGGUUCAUGUUUUUCUUCUUUAAAUUCCCUUUUCUAGUACUGUUUUAAAAUGUCCUUAGUCUAGGAUAAGUAUAAAUUAUCCCAGAUUUUAGCGAGGCACAAAAGGAAGGCCUUACAAUGUUGUUGUAUCCCUUUUCCUUUGCCAUCGCUCUGGGUUUAACCAUCAUCUCUUUGGCUGUUAUUUUCCAUUGUUAACAGUUAGUAGGAAUCAGGCCAACAAUCCUAAAGAGCCAGGAAUUCCUGGCCUGGUUGAACAGCCUUUAUCCCUGCUUUGGAGCACCUGAAUCGGCCAUAAGAAUUUAUUGCUAUUUGUAGAUGAAGAAGUAUUUCUACACUGAAUGCAUUUUUAAUGCUGUUUGUUGGAAGAAAGAUAUGAAAGGGGGAGUGACUAAGAAAGGUAUUCUGUCUCUACUGAUGAGAGAGCCAACACUGCUAAUGACACAGAAGAAAACAAGGCCCUUUCAAAACACCCAGACAGUAUAGGAAAUGAAGCAGAACUGUGGUAACACAUGACGAGCAUCCUUAAUAUCCAGUGACUUCACUUACUCUUUCUUUACUGCAAUUCCAGCUAUGGCUCAUCAUGGCCCAGUAAUUCUACCAUUGGAAAGACUUUCCAACUACCAUUGGAAAGAGUGGCAAGACUUGUCUUUGACAAGAUUACAUUUACUUUUCAAGUCCUAACCAUCACUCACUAACUCCCUACCUGCAUCAAGAUUAUGAAUGCCUGGAUGCCAAGGAUUCCAAUUCAAACUUAGAACUUUCUCAUUCAUUGACAUCCCUGCUGCAAUCAGCCACAGUGAGACUCCCAUCAAGAUCUUGGAAGAAAUUAUCACUGUUGAUUCAAAAUCUGAUCAACUAAUGAUCUGAUCAACAUAGAAGCAGAAAUUACCUUAGUGAAAAGGUGAAAAACCAGGGCAAUUGAUAUGCUAAGGUAUUGUACUCCAGUUUUCUGUGAAUAGUUAAUAUCAGUUUAACCAACUAAAUUUAGUAUGAUGAGUCUUAGGGACUCCAAAGUCUAAAAAUGUCAGUAUCUUCAAGAUUGCCUAGAGCAAAGGGCCCUAUCAACUCAAGAAUUGACAUCUCUGAGGCUGGGUUAUACCUUCCAACACCAGGUUUGCAUAGCUGAGUGACAUUAGCUAUGAAGAUAAUUUGAUUCACUUUUCUGGCUCAGUUGUCAUAUUGUUAAUCAGCCUUAUAAUAAAUUUAUAUUUCCACAUAAAUUUUUACACAAAGACAGAAUGGAUAGCGCAGUUGACUUGAUCGCUUCCUUUUAAUUUUAAUCAGUUUAUAAGAAAGAAAAAAAUCUAAUCAGGAUUUUUGUUACUUAAUCAAGUUUUGACCCUAUAGUUUAUAGGAGAAAAUCAACCUUGAAUUGUAUGUUAAUGCUACCUGGUCCAAUUUUCUCUAAGUGUUUGGUCCAAUGUUAUGAUAGGUAUUCAUCAUAAACUAUAAAGUAUUGACAUCAUUAUAAACAAAAACUUUGUCAGUAGAAAAUGCUCAAAACUACUAUCGUCUCCUUACAGUGAUGAGGAGGGACAGAUUGAAAGACUAAAGUCAACAAAUUCAGGGUGGCAGACAACAAUGAACUUGGGUCCUUCAAUGCUGGUGAGCCUCUAAAUUAAUCUUGGAGCCACCUGUAUGAGUCAGGGUUGGGUCAGAGAGGCACACUGCUGAGAAUGCUAGAAUAAAGAUUUAUUAUAUAGAAUCAACCUUACACAAGUCUGGGCAUUUGUAAAGAAGUCCAUGUCAGGCUGACCCCUCCGCAUCUGGGGAUGUACCUUAGGUAGCUGUAGGUCAGCUGUGCUAAGUGGUCAGCAAGGAGAGCUGGUUGUGGAGUGAUGAUGAACUGAAAUCCAUAAGAAGAAACUGGAAUUCAUGCCUCUCAGGGCCUCCAAAGGCAAUGACAGGGGUGACCUGCAAGAGAAGCUGGUGCCCAGUACCAUGGAGCCACACACACACCUAGCUAGGACUCUGAAGCUGAAGGAGGGAGUUUCAGUGCCAGCUCACUCUUUUGGCCUGGGGUAGUAUUUGCCAGCUAUCACAGUGCCUGGGGCCAUACCAUGAGCUUAACAGCAUACAAUGAACAGCUGCAUCUCUACCGCUCCCUCUCAAAUGUGGUGAAAAUUUCUCUUGUGACCAACUCCAGUCCAGAACAAACAGAGAAAGGAAAUCCAGGAAAUGUACCUCUCGCUUAGCUACAUUGGCACAAUACAAGGCCAGCAUUCCCCCUAACACUAAACUGAUCAUCUUAUAUGAGAAGCUGUUUCAGUGUUGAAAAAUGCACAGGCAUGUAGUCCACCCAGGUAUAGAUUAGGAGGAUUCUUAUCUACAAGUUCUAAGUACCUGUGACUAUAUGUAAAUUACAGUGUUAAGAGAAAAGUUGAUCAACUCCCACCAUUAGUGGCUAAAAAUAUACUUAUUGUUGGAGGAGUCCAGCAAAACUCAUUAACUUCAGUAAUAACAAUUUACUAACAUACCCUAGGUCUCAUCGUCCAUGUCUUCCAUAAAUGUUUUGCAUUAAAAGGCAAUAGGUAUUUUUUUAACUUGAGAAUUUAAAAGACUCUUUU